AUGGCCAUACCACAUUGAAACACCGGUUCUCGUCCGAUCACCGAAGUUAAGCAAUGUCGGGCCCAGUCAGUACUUGGGAGGGUGACCACCUGGGAACACCAGGUGCUGUUACCU
rnacentral:rRNA from 1 species